rnacentral:rRNA from 1 species
CCUACGGGAGGCAGCAGUAGGGAAUAUUGCUCAAUGGGGGAAACCCUGAAGCAGCAACGCCGCGUGGAGGAUGAAGGUUUUCGGAUUGUAAAGUCCUUUUGUUAGAGAAGAUAAUGACGGUAUCUAACGAAUAAGCACCGGCUAACUCCGUGCCAGCAGCCGCGGUAAUACGGAGGGUGCAAGCGUUACCCGGAAUCACUGGGCGUAAAGAGCGCGUAGGCGGGAUGGCAAGUCAGAUGUGAAAUCCUAGGGCUUAACCAUAGAACUGCAUUUGAAACUGUUAUUCUAGAGUAUGGGAGAGGUAGGUGGAAUUCUUGGUGUAGGGGUAAAAUCCGUAGAGAUCAAGAGGAAUACUCAUUGCGAAGGCGGCCUGCUAGAACAUAACUGACGCUGAUGCGCGAAAGCGUGGGGAGCAAACAGGAUUAGAUACCCGUGUAGUC